UUCUCUUUGGGUCUUUACACCAUUUAGACGGUGUCGUGUAGUGAUAAGAAUGGACAUUGGCCCUAAAUCAACCCCAAAAGCUAGCUUAUGAGGUAAGGAUUGCCUAAGCCAUAUAAGGAGACGCUCUGAUACCAUGAUAAGAAUGGACAUUGGGCCUAACUCAACCCCAAAAGCUAGCUUAUGACUUUACACCAUUUAGACGGUGUCGUGUAGUGAUAAGAAUGGACAUUGGCCCUAAAUCAACCCCAAAAGCUAGCUUAUGAGGUAAGGAUUGCCUAAGCCAUAUAAGGAGACCAAGGACCUCAAAUCCCUCCGAUGUGGGACAACUCAACAUGUAGGUUCAAUUAAAUUAAUUACUUUAGUAUUAAAUUUAUAUAAAAAAAGUUUAAAAUGUAUGUGUAUAAUAAGAGCAAGCUCAAUCAUUUUGGACUCCACACCUUAAAUUCGCCUUUUAUUUGGCUGUGAUCGAUCACUGUCUUGUGUGGCUGUUUUUUCUCUCUUUAUUUUGUG
rnacentral:lncRNA from 1 species